rnacentral:rRNA from 1 species
GACGAACGCUGGCGGCAUGCCUAACACAUGCAAGUCUAGGGGUAGCAAUACCACUGGCGCACGGGUGAGUAACACGUAGGUUAUCUGCCCCCAUCACAGACAUAACCCCGGGAAACCGGGGCUAAUAUCUGAUGAGGUCGCGAGAUCAAAGCUUCGGCGGAUGGGGAUGAGCCUGCGGCUGAUUAGCUAGUUGGUGAGGUAAUGGCUCACCAAGGCGACGAUCAGUAGCUGGUCUGAGAGGACGAACAGCCACACUGGAACUGAGACACGGUCCAGACUCCUACGGGAGGCAGCAGUGAGGAAUAUUGGUCAAUGGGAGCAAUCCUGAACCAGCAAUGCCGCGUGUGGGAUGACAGGGCUUCGCCUUGUAAACCACUGUCGGACGGGACGAAAGGGAGGCCUCGGGGCCUCUGGGACGGUACCGUCAAAGGAAGGGUCGGCUAACUACGUGCCAGCAGCCGCGGUAAU